rnacentral:tRNA from 1 species
GGGCGAGUGGCGGAAUCGGCAGACGCAACGGACUUAAAAUCCGUUGGGAGAAAUCCCGUGGGGGUUCGAGUCCCCCCUCGCCUA